rnacentral:rRNA from 1 species
UGGGGAAUCUUCCGCAAUGGACGAAAGUCUGACGGAGCAACGCCGCGUGAGUGAAGAAGGUUUUCGGAUCGUAAAACUCUGUCUUUUGGGGCGAACGUGAGUAUGGUGAACAAUCAUAGUCAGUGACGGUACCAAAGGAGGAAGCCACGGCUAACUACGUGCCAGCAGCCGCGGUAAUACGUAGGUGGCAAGCGUUGUCCGGAAUUAUUGGGCGUAAAGAGCGCGUAGGCGGGAUAGUCAGUCUGUUGUAAAGUGCGGGGCUCAACCCCGUGAUCGCAAUGGAAACAGCUAUUCUUGAGUGCAGGAGAGGAAAGUGGAAUUCCCAGUGUAGCGGUGAAAUGCGUAGAUAUUGGGAGGAACACCAGUGGCGAAGGCGACUUUCUGGACUGUGUCUGACGCUGAGGCGCGAAAGCCAGGGGAGCGAACGGGAUUAGAUACCCCGGUAGUCCUGGCCGUAAACGAUGGGUACUAGGUGUGGGAGGUAUCGACCCCUUGCCGUGCCGGAGUUAACGCAAUAAGUACCCCGCCUGGGGAGUACGGUCGCAAGACUGAACUCAAAGGAAUUGACGGGGUCAUAGCUGUUCC